rnacentral:rRNA from 1 species
GACGUAGGGCGCAAGCGUUAUCCGGAAUUAUUGGGUGUAAAGAGCUCGUAGGCGGUUUGUCGCGUCUGCCGUGAAAGUCCGGGGCUCAACUCCGGAUCUGCGGUGGGUACGGGCAGACUAGAGUGAUGUAGGGGAGACUGGAAUUCCUGGUGUAGCGGUGAAAUGCGCAGAUAUCAGGAGGAACACCGAUGGCGAAGGCAGGUCUCUGGGCAUUAACUGACGCUGAGGAGCGAAAGCAUGGGGAGCGAACAGG